GACGAACGCUGGCGGCGUGCCUAACACAUGCAAGUCGAACGGACAUUAAUUUUUCGGAAUUGAUGUUAGUGGCGGACGGGUGAGUAACGCGUGAGGAACCUGCCUUUCGGAGGGGAAUAACACAUCGAAAGAUGUGCUAAUACCGCAUAAUGUCAUCGGGCGGCAUCGCCUGAUGACCAAAAGAGCAAUCUGCCGAAAGAUGGCCUCGCGUCCGAUUAGAUAGUUGGUGAGGUAACGGCCCACCAAGUCUGCGAUCGGUAGCCGGACUGAGAGGUUGAUCAGCCACACGGGAACUGAGACACGGUCCCGACUCCUACGGGGGGCAGCAGUGAGGAAUAUUGCACAAUGGGGGAAACCCUGAUGCAGCAAACGCCGCGUGGAGGAUGACGGCCCUUGGGUUGUAAACUCCUUUUCUGUGGGACGAGAGAGGACGGUACCACAGGAAUAAGUCACGGCUAAACUCGUG
rnacentral:rRNA from 1 species